rnacentral:rRNA from 1 species
UAGGGAAUCUUCCACAAUGGACGAAGGUCUGAUGGAGCAACGCCGCGUGAGUGAAGAAGGAUUUCGGUUCGUAAAACUCUGUUGCAAGGGAAGAACAAGUAGCGUAGUAACUGGCGCUACCUUGACGGUACCUUGUUAGAAAGCCACGGCUAACUACGUGCCAGCAGCCGCGGUAAUACGUAGGUGGCAGGCGUUGUCCGGAAUUAUUGGGCGUAAAGCGCGCGCAGGUGGUUCUUUAAGUCUGAUGUGAAAGCCCCCGGCUCAACCGGGGAGGGUCAUUGGAAACUGGGGAACUUGAGUGCAGAAGAGGAUAGUGGAAUUCCAAGUGUAGCGGUGAAAUGCGUAGAGAUUUGGAGGAACACCAGUGGCGAAGGCGACUGUCUGGUCUGUAACUGACACUGAGGCGCGAAAGCGUGGGGAGCAAACAGGAUUGGAUACCCUGGUAGUCCACGCCGUAAACGAUGAGUGCUAAGUGUUGGGGGGUUUCCGCCCGUCAGUGCUGCAG